rnacentral:tRNA from 1 species
GGGGUUGUGGCUCAGUGGUAGAGUGCUUGCCUAGCAUGCAUGAGGCACUGGGUUUGCUCCUCAGCACCA